rnacentral:lncRNA from 1 species
UCGGAGAGCUUGCGGGACUCGUCGAACUUGCCGCGGCGGAGGGACGUCUCGAAGAUGUUCAGCGCGGGGACCCAGGUGCCGAGGAUGACCUCGCAGCCGGCCUGCGCGAGGCACUUGGAGAUGGCCCAGCCGAAGCCCUGGUCGUCGGCAACGCCGGCGACGAAAGCCUUCUUGCCUGUCGAUGCGGACGAACGGGGAAAAGAGAGGUCAGAGGAUCGAUAACGAUCUGUGGCGCCGUUUUGAGGGCGUAGGGUGGAAAUUUGCCGCCCGCCCCGAGCGGGCUCCGAUACGUCGCCGCCUCGUCGCGAGCGACUGAAGACGGCGGCGUAUCGAUCGCGCGUCGAUGCGGGGAGAUAUUCGAGUCGGCGACGGACGCCGCAUCGGUCGCGGAACGACAACCUGUGUUCGGAACGGGCACUCACCGCGGAGGUCGAUGGGAAGGGUCAGAUCGGUCUGCGCCGCGCGGACGGUCAUGCGAGAGGCCGCACGGGGAGCCUUGCGGGCGUUGC